rnacentral:lncRNA from 1 species
GAAAAGAAGAAAGAAGUUUAUAGCUUAUUUGGAGGAUUAAAAUUAAAACACACAAAAAGUAAAGAAUGCGAAACAGUAUAAAACUGAGGUCACUAAAUGAAAUACUUGUGUUAAAAAGUUGUAGAAAAUAUAUCUAAGAUUAUAAGGCUAAAAGGAGACAAAAUAGUUAAGAGUUGACAUGAUAAGGAAAAUAAAAAUCCCACUUGUAAGAAUUUGUUUUAAAAGAGUAAACAGACAUGUGCAAAGCUCUAUGUAUGAAGCUGUAUCUCAGCAUAAAUUACAAACAAUCUUGAUAUUCAACACUGGAUUAGUUAAAUAAAUUAUAAAAUAUCCAUAAAGCAAAUACACCAAAAUGAUUAAAAAUAAUCCUUUCAUAGGUAUAUGUAUGUGAAUGAAAAAUGAUAAUAUAUCAGAGUAUUAUUUCUAAUAUUUUAUAAAACUACACAUACACAAAAUUUUAAAAAGCUAUAAAGAGAAGUAACCUCUGAUCCUUGAAUUAAGGAAAACAUUUAUUUCCUUCUUUUGUUUAUCUCUAUUAUCUGCAUUUUUAUAGUAUGCAUUUACUUUUUGUAAUUCAAAUAAGAGCUGAAAGAUAAUCUUAGUAUCUCAGAACAAUCUGGAACUCAAUGUUGGCAUUCCCUCCUUUUCUCUCUGAAUCCAAAAUUAGAUAUAAUAAGAUUAAGUCCAUAAAAAAGUUUUGAAAUAAAUAAAACACUCUACUUAAAGUAAUAAUAAUAAAAAAGACAUAGCCAUUAUAAGUUUUUAAGGAAGGUAUGAUGGUUAUUUUAUGCAUAAACUUGACAGGGCCACAGGGUGCCCAGACAUUUGGUCAACCAUUAUUCCAAGUGUGCCUGUGAGUUUGUUGUUGGAAGAGAUUAACUUGUGAAUCAGCAAACUAAGUACAGUAGCUCUCAACCAAUCAACCGAAGACAUGAAUGGGGACAAAAAGGCUACGAGGGAACUUUGCUUGCCUCGCUGUUUGAGUUGGGACAUUGGUCUUCUCUGAUCCUCAAAGUGGAACCACAUCACCAGCUUUCCUGGCUUUCCUGCUUGUCAACUGCAGAUCUUGGGACUGAUCACAUGAUUCAAUUACUCAUAAGUCACAUGCAUAUGACUAGUCUCUUCUGUAGUUGUCAGGGUUCUCCAGAGAAACAGAAACAGAAGCAAUAGGAGAUAUAUCUCUUAUUACAUUAAGUCUCCUAUUGCUUCUGUUUCUCUGGAGAACUCUAAUACAUAAAAGAUUAUGAUUAGAAUUAUGCUUGAAGAAGGUUAAUCUUAUAAUGGCAUGCAGAGCGGAGCUGGGCAAGGCCAGAGGCUAAAUAUGGAGCCAGAAAGAUACUGCAGAAAGUGAGCAAAAAGGAUGAGUGGAUGGCCUGGGGUGGAAUCCGUGAAAAAGGGCAGAUUGUCAGUCUCAGGAAAUCAACAGGACUGAGUUCUAACUUCAGCUGGGCUACUAUGCCCUGGGGAAUCAGAAGAUUCUCCCUAACAUUGGAGUCCAAAGAAGAGGAGCCACCAUCUCCUUAACUACAAAACAACUGAGAGAAGAAAUGUCUCCCUUUAGUGCCAGUGAAGAGUUUUGCUUCUCUAGAACAACUGUUUAUUUUUGAUCUUAUGAAACGCGUGACACUUGUAACUGAUUUGCCUUCUUUUUGCUUGCUGCUAGAAAUCUCAGAACCAAAUUCGAGGUCAUUUCUGAAUGUGCUGGACUACACAGCAUGAAUUCUGUGUCCUCUCACCUCAUUCAUAGAUACAUUUUUUUAUUCCUACCCAUCUUUUCCUUUCCCCAGAUUUUCCUAUUGCUCUUUUAUCAUCUUGAGUAAAGAAGGUUAAACUAUGAAUAAAAAGUACAAUCUCAAUGACGAGUCAGGGAAAAGUAAGUUUUGGACUUCCAUUUAGAGCCAUUUAUAGGUCAGCAAUCUUUUGUCUCUGUGUCUUCUUUCUGCCCUGAACAACCAAGGCAUCCUAGUCAGUCUCUCUUCAUCUGCAUACCACUUUAAAGAGCCCAGGGGUCUUCCAAGUACAGUCACUACUAAGAAAAUGUCUUCAGUAAAUUUUUUUUUUUUUUUUUUGAGAUGGAGUCUCGCUCUGUCGCCCAGGCUGGAAUGUAGUGGCACGAUCUCAGCUCACUGCAAGCUCUGCCUCCCGGGUUCACGCCAUCCUCCUGCCUCAGCCUCCCAAGUAGCUGAGACUACAGGCACCUGCCACCAUGCCCGGCUAAUUUUUUUUGUAUUUUUAGUAGAGACGGGGUUUCACUGUAUUAGCCAGGAUGGUCUUAAUCUCCUGACCUCAUGAUCCGCCCGCCUCGGCCUCCCAAAGUGCUGGGAUUACAGGCGUGAGCCCCCGCGCCCAGCCUUCAGUAAAAUUUUAAUGCAUGUUGCUUAUCAUUCUUUGUAUUGUAAGCACCAAUCCUUAAUCUGUGCUGUGGUUUUUGUUCAGAAACAUUUCUUUAAAAAAAUUUCCCCAGACGCUCAGCCUUCAUAUUCUAAUCUUUAUUAUUCUGAACUACCUACAAAGCUAAAUAUACCUUGUCUACAUGCAGUGCUUAUGUAACAAUGGUGCUUAUUUUGUUUUACAUUGCUUCAACCUCUGACCAGAAACUUAGAGGACAGAAUGCCCUGCUUUUACAAAAAAUGUGGUGACCACAACGGUAACCUUAUCUAAUUGAGACCAUUUUAGGAAGGAGGGGAGGAGAUAUUUUUACUGCAAAGACUGAGUCAUAAGCCUUCAUUUUUUACCCUGGGUUGUGCAGAAACUUUAAACUUUCUAUAUUAUUUCAUUUCUUCCAUACCAGGACAUUUAUUUCCUAUUCAGUGACAAUCUUGAUGUCUUCAUCCUUCAAACUGCUCUCUAACAUAGUUUCAAAAUCCAAGCAUUAAACAUUAUUAAUGCUCAGGGGAUGAAUAUGUUCAUUACCUUUACUGUAGUGAUGAUUUCCUAUGGCAAAAUGUUAAAUGAUGUAAAGAUAAAAAUAAUUAUCAUAGUUAUUAAUCAUAGCAAUAAAACUGGACUACCUAAAGCACA